rnacentral:tRNA from 1 species
GAGGGUAUAGUUCAAGUGGUAGAGCACAUGUUUAGCAUGCACGAGGUCCUGGGUUCAAUCCCCAGUACCUCCU